rnacentral:rRNA from 1 species
GAUGAACGCUGGCGGCGUGCCUAAUACAUGCAAGUCGAACGAGUUCUCGUUGAUGAUCGGUGCUUGCACCGAGAUUCAACAUGGAACGAGUGGCGGACGGGUGAGUAACACGUGGGUAACCUGCCCUUAAGUGGGGGAUAACAUUUGGAAACAGAUGCUAAUACCGCAUAGAUCCAAGAACCGCAUGGUUCUUGGCUGAAAGAUGGCGUAAGCUAUCGCUUUUGGAUGGACCCGCGGCGUAUUAGCUAGUUGGUGAGGUAAUGGCUCACCAAGGCGAUGAUACGUAGCCGAACUGAGAGGUUGAUCGGCCACAUUGGGACUGAGACACGGCCCAAACUCCUACGGGAGGCAGCAGUAGGGAAUCUUCCACAAUGGACGCAAGUCUGAUGGAGCAACGCCGCGUGAGUGAAGAAGGCUUUCGGGUCGUAAAACUCUGUUGUUGGAGAAGAAUGGUCGGCAGAGUAACUGUUGUCGGCGUGACGGUAUCCAACCAGAAAGCCACGGCUAACUACGUGCCAGCAGCCGCGGUAAUACGUAGGUGGCAAGCGUUAUCCGGAUUUAUUGGGCGUAAAGCGAGCGCAGGCGGUUUUUUAAGUCUGAUGUGAAAGCCCUCGGCUUAACCGAGGAAGCGCAUCGGAAACUGGGAAACUUGAGUGCAGAAGAGGACAGUGGAACUCCAUGUGUAGCGGUGAAAUGCGUAGAUAUAUGGAAGAACACCAGUGGCGAAGGCGGCUGUCUGGUCUGUAACUGACGCUGAGGCUCGAAAGCAUGGGUAGCGAACAGGAUUAGAUACCCUGGUAGUCCAUGCCAUAAACGAUGAAUGCUAGGUGUUGGAGGGUUUCCGCCCUUCAGUGCCGCAGCUAACGCAUUAAGCAUUCCGCCUGGGGAGUACGACCGCAAGGUUGAAACUCAAAGGAAUUGACGGGGGCCCGCACAAGCGGUGGAGCAUGUGGUUUAAUUCGAAGCAACGCGAAGAACCUUACCAGGUCUUGACAUCUUUUGAUCACCUGAGAGAUCAGGUUUCCCCUUCGGGGGCAAAAUGACAGGUGGUGCAUGGUUGUCGUCAGCUCGUGUCGUGAGAUGUUGGGUUAAGUCCCGCAACGAGCGCAACCCUUAUGACUAGUUGCCAGCAUUUAGUUGGGCACUCUAGUAAGACUGCCGGUGACAAACCGGAGGAAGGUGGGGAUGACGUCAAAUCAUCAUGCCCCUUAUGACCUGGGCUACACUCGUGCUACAAUGGAUGGUACAACGAGUUGCGAGACCGCGAGGUCAAGCUAAUCUCUUAAAGCCAUUCUCAGUUCGGACUGUAGGCUGCAACUCGCCUACACGAAGUCGGAAUCGCUAGUAAUCGCGGAUCAGCACGCCGCGGUGAAUACGUUCCCGGGCCUUGUACACACCGCCCGUCACACCAUGAGAGUUUGUAACACCCGAAGCCGGUGGCGUAACCCUUUUAGGGAGCGAGCCGUCUAAGGUGGGACAAAUGAUUAGGGUG